rnacentral:lncRNA from 1 species
UUUAUUGAGGUGGGGAUGGGAGGGAUUUGACCUAUUUAAAAAAAAAAAUUCUACCAGACCAAACCGGCCCGAUUAAUCUAGUUCCAAUCUAAUCGCUUCUGGUCCAUGUACGGUUAACCAUUCCGAUUUGAUUUUUUGAACGCUGGUAUAUCCUAUAAAAAGUAAAAACACACACAUGCAUCAAUAUUAAGCCUUUUUUUGUGUGUCAUUUUAUAUGGCCUGUGUUCUAUAUGGUCAUCAUAACAACAUGAUGAGGAGGUUCUCGACCAUCUUGGAUGGUGAUAGGGGGAGUGCAAGAGUGUAAAAUGAGAAAAAUUGUCAAAAUAACCAUAUGAAAUGAACUAUUAGCAUUGUAAUUUAUAAAUACUCACAAAAAGACUCGUGAUCAUGAAUCGGAAUAGUGUUUUAUUUUUUUACUUACCCAAAAAAAGAAUAGUGUCAAAUAUGGAAAGGCUAAAUAAGUGCAUCUCUUUAGGGUAUUUUGGUAAAUUUCCUAUAAAAGUAUGUAGUUGAAUAUAUGGUUAGGACCAAUGUAUCAAAAUAGCCGAUAUGAUUCGGAAUAGAGCGAUCUGGAUCGAAUAUCGAUGACACCAUUCUGGAUCUGCUAAUAAAAC